rnacentral:lncRNA from 1 species
CGGCUUUAGCCAAGGCUGCAGGGCUCGGUGUUUGAACAAGGAAAGAUCCCCAGGUGUACAGAAGAUUGGAUUUGCUCUUAUCUGGGUUAAAAAAAAAAAAAGGGUGAAAUGAGAUUUCUAAAGCUUGGGGACUUCAGCUCGCCUUCUGUUGCACUUGAUCUCUACAAGAUGGGUGAGUUAUUCCCAUUAGAGAGAAAGGGAGUGGAAAUUUAAGGAGAAAAAAACGCACCAAACCCAAACAUGUCUGAAUAUAUAACUGCUGAUGCUGGGGAUACGAUUCGUAUGAAGCUGCUGAGCUAAAAAUCUCAGCUCCAACGUGGAGAUCGGGCCAUAUGGCAGAGAAAUGGUGCAGCCCGAAAGCUGUUGACAACAGUUAGUGGCUGCUUUCCUCCUCUCCCCGCUGUAAGAUGGCUAACGUGCCGCCGUGUUAGGAAAACUGUGCUCAACACCACCACAGCCCAGCGCCGGGGAGGGAGCAAGCUCUUCAGAUACCGGCUGAAGGGAAGGGGGGUGCUGGGUGAGUUUGUGUGUGCGCUCGGGGGGGGAAGGAAGAGAGAUGCCGGGCCCGAGGACUGCUGCCGGUGCUGCCUAGCGGGAGGUGCGCGGUCGGCGGCCGGUCCCGCCGGGGCUGCGGCUGCCCCCGCCGCCCCUAGCCCUCGGCCCGGUCCCCCCCGGCCCGGCCCCGGGAAGGGAUCUCGGCGUUCCGCUGCCUGGAUGACAGCGCAGAUGAGAAAAGCAGGCGAGUGAAUGGCAAGGCGAGGCUGGCGGAGAGAAGGCGAGCCAAGAUGUCAGUGACUGUCAGCGAAGUCUGCUAAGGGAGGGAGAGACCUGUGCGUGCCUGCGCUCCCACAGACAGCCGGGGAGGAUCUGUUCUGGCCACGGUUUAAAACAGCAGCAGCAGCAGCAACAACAGCAGAUUGCUCCCCCUCUCGUACUCCCUCCCCUUCGACCCCGCUUUAAACCCAAGCAAGUGACGGACCGUCCAGACCAUGCAGAUGACGAUGCUCACGCUGAGCCACUGACAAAGAAAAGACAAGUCACCCAUUCCUGAAACACAGAUAACUGCCCGCCUGCAAGCGGGAGAUGUCUAGCAGUUGAACUUUUCUGUCCUGUGAUGAUGCCGUGGUGAGCCUGCUGAUCUAAAAGAAAGCCAUCUCUUUUGGAUCCUGAGCUGGCCAGACUGAAAGAGAUUAAUGGAGUGAUCAGCCUUAGCUGUCAGUUCUCUCCCAGGGGAUACAUCCCUUCAGCCCCUCUCGCUCUGGUGCUUGUGGUGAGGGGAGCAGGACAUCUUUGUGAGGGUGGGUCACUGGCACCUUCCCCUUCGAGGUGGAAGGCUGUGUUUCUCUUCUGCAGAGCCGAAGAGGCAGAUGAGACUCCAGGACUGCUUCCAGGGCAGAACUUUGUAGUGGUCUCAGCAUCCCUCUGCAUCGUGGAUGUGAGCCACAGGAGCUGGGGAUGUUUGAGGCAGCUGCUGCCAAGUGACACCCAGCAGCUGCUCCAGAGGCUUUUGCGUGGUCUCUUGCUUAAGGGCUUUUCCUGUUGUGAAGAUGUCCAUGG